GAAGGUGGCCUGUGAGGGUUGCUGGAGGUAUCAGAAGUGCGAAUGCUGACAUAAGUAACGAUAAAGCGGGUGAAAAGCCCGCUCGCCGGAAGACCAAGGGUUCCUGUCCAACGUUAAUCGGGGCAGGGUGAGUCGACCCCUAAGGCGAGGCCGAAAGGCGUAGUCGAUGGGAAACAGGUUAAUAUUCCUGUACUUGGUGUUACUGCGAAGGGGGGACGGAGAAGGCUAUGUUGGCCGGGCGACGGUUGUCCCGGUUUAAGCGUGUAGGUGUGUGUUCCAGGUAAAUCCGGUUCACUUUAACACUGAGGCGUGAUGACGAGGCACUACGGUGCUGAAGCAACAAAUGCCCUGCUUCCAGGAAAAGCCUCUAAGCAUCAGGUAACAUCAAAUCGUACCCCAAACCGACACAGGUGGUCAGGUAGAGAAUACCAAGGCGCUUGAGAGAACUCGGGUGAAGGAACUAGGCAAAAUGGUGCCGUAACUUCGGGAGAAGGCACGCUGACACGUAGGUGAAGUGAUUUACUCAUGGAGCUGAAGUCAGUCGAAGAUACCAGCUGGCUGCAACUGUUUAUUAAAAACACAGCACUGUGCAAACACGAAAGUGGACGUAUACGGUGUGACGCCUGCCCGGUGCCGGAAGGUUAAUUGAUGGGGUCAGCGCAAGCGAAGCUCCUGAUCGAAGCCCCGGUAAACGGCGGCCGUAACUAUAACGGUCCUAAGGUAGCGAAAUUCCUUGUCGGGUAAGUUCCGACCUGCACGAAUGGCGUAAUGAUGGCCAGGCUGUCUCCACCCGAGACUCAGUGAAAUUGAACUCGCUGUGAAGAUGCAGUGUACCCGCGGCAAGACGGAAAGACCCCGUGAACCUUUACUAUAGCUUGACACUGAACAUUGAGCCUUGAUGUGUAGGAUAGGUGGGAGGCUUUGAAGUGUGGACGCCAGUCUGCAUGGAGCCGACCUUGAAAUACCACCCUUUAAUGUUUGAUGUUCUAACGUGGACCCGUGAUCCGGGUUGCGGACAGUGUCUGGUGGGUAGUUUGACUGGGGCGGUCUCCUCCUAAAGAGUAACGGAGGAGCACGAAGGUUGGCUAAUCCUGGUCGGACAUCAGGAGGUUAGUGCAAUGGCAUAAGCCAGCUUGACUGCGAGCGUGACGGCGCGAGCAGGUGCGAAAGCAGGUCAUAGUGAUCCGGUGGUUCUGAAUGGAAGGGCCAUCGCUCAACGGAUAAAAGGUACUCCGGGGAUAACAGGCUGAUACCGCCCAAG
rnacentral:rRNA from 1 species